rnacentral:lncRNA from 7 species
GACAUCUCAAGUAGUCCAAAACAUGACCGUCCACUCUGCAUGGGUUGUCAGGAUGCAUUAUAGGUCAUGGUGGCAGUAUUUAUAAGGGUGUUUCCGAUCUGGUGUUUUUUACUGAUCUGAAUUCCAGCUGUAUUCUUGCCACUGUGGAGAGCCAAACGCACUUCAUUUAUGCUCAUGGAGAUAUUAGGAUCAAAGUACAUUUUGAAAAGUACAUUCUGGAGAAGAUAUAUGUGCUGAAAGAUUUACCAAUGACCAGAUGUGACUACAUGACUAGAGAUACUAGAGUCUGGUGAAAGUAGAUGGUCUCUUGCAAGAAGCUUCCAGCUGGUAUGAACCAUAUUGUUCAAUUCAGUGCUGUCUUUGUAUUUGGUCCUUUCUGCUGACUUGCAAGAAAACUGAUACCAACUGAGGUCUGCUUCUUCGACAUUCAGCUCAAAUAUCCAAUGAGCAGUCAACUGUUGCUCACUACCACGUCUAUUUCACUUUAUCUGAAUAAUGUGCUUUAACUAAAUAAUGUGCUUUAACUGAAACAGAAACAUAGUAAGGAGUCUCCAAAUGCAGCAUCAAUGAGCAACUAAUUUCAGCAGCAAUAAAAUACACAGAGAUGAAACUGUAAUGAGAAAGCUAUGAAGAAGUAUUUUAUUUCCAUAGCUGUUCCAAUUGUAAGUCUCAUAAUUUCCUCAUCUGAUUGCUGAAAAAUGCUCAGGGAGGUGUUGUGUGUGCCCUACUCUAUCAGUGCAUCACCUCAGGCUCUCAUAUUGCAGCAAAGCUAAUUAUCAUGUUCCCAGCAACACAGCAUGAUCUCACAUGUAUUUGUUUGGAGGAAAUAUAAACGUGGCAUUCAAAACAAGAUCCUCACAUAUAUAAUGUGGUGUAAAAAAGCAAGAGACACAGAGGAAGGAGUGAAGAAAGAAAGAUUCCCUUUUUACAAGGUUUGUAGUUCCUUGGAUUGUGUUUAAGCAGUCAGACAGUUUUUUUCUGUGCACUGUGUGAUAUUCUGCACCUAGUGAGAUGGUGCUAUCGGGUGUGCAACACCAAAGCAAAUCUUGUGUUAUUGGAAAAUGAUCUCAAAAGGAUCUUUGUAUGCCCUUUUGAUAGCUCAGUGUAUUACGUGAGCCUGACCAAAUAAAAUUUAUAUU